rnacentral:rRNA from 1 species
UGCUUUACACAUGCAAGUUGAACGAUAAUUUUUCGUAGCAAACGGGUGAGUAAUUUAUAAAGAUAUUUACCUUUUAGUCUUGAAUAAAACAUAUUUAAUUAAAAAAAAAUCUUUAAUGUAUUUGUGUUAACACGGGAUAAAACAAAAAAAAAUUAAAAUAUAAAAAUAUAAGUAUUUUAAUUUGCUAAAAGAUAAUUUUAUAAAAAAUUAGGUUGUUGGUAAUUUAAUGAAAAGCAUACCAAGCCUACGAUUUUUAGUUGGUCUGAGAGGACGGUCAACCACACUGGAACUGAGAA